rnacentral:lncRNA from 1 species
AUCACCGUUCGGGCGCGGACUGAUCGUACACACAACUCUGCUCUGCGUUUUUCCAAAAAUCUUUUACUCUUUUUGAAAAUACUUCUCAAAUCCUCAGUUUGAGUUCAAAUACGCCCGAAGGUGUACUCGAAUCCCUCAAACCAAGGCUCUGAUACCAACUUGUAACACCGUAAAUUUCAAAACAAUUUUUCGCAUUUUAUAAAAACAUAAUUCAUUUAAUAUUCAUAAAAACAUCAAUGUUUGAAACUCAAUCCAUGCCAUAUAAAAAUCCCAAGAUCUCAUAACAUAAAAAUCCCGUGUGUGUGUACUGAUCAAGCCGGCGCCUUCCCACGGUCAUCACUAGUACCUGAAACAAAUAACACCAAACACUGUAAGCACAAAGCUUAGUGAGUUCCCCAAAAUACCACACAUAACACAUAUUAGCCACUCGAGGCUAUAACUCUGUGGGUCCGUGGACCCUACUCUGUGAACCCUCUGGUUCUAACUCUGUGAACCUUCCGGUUCCAACUCUAUAAACAUGCACAACAUAAAUCACAUAGAAAUAAUGCAGUACAACACAUAACAUACAUAUAGCAUACAAAUACUCUGUCACAUAACUCUGAUUACCUACUCAAGGUAAAGUAUAGUGAGAAGACUCACCUCGCGUAUCUCGAUAACUCGCAAAUCCCGGAAAUCACUCGCGCUCGAUCCCCCGAGCUAUAAUCCUCCUAUAACACAAUAUAUCUCUAAUUAACACUUUCACAACUAAGGUUGACUAACCCUAUCAAGUCAACACUGGUCAACUCUGGUCAAUGGUCAACGGUCAACUUUGACCGGACUCGGCGAGUGCACUAGAGCGACUCGGCGAGUCUAUACGUGUUCACUGACUCCCUCGGAUCCUCUCUUGACACGUCGAGUACUUCCCUAACUCGACGAGUUCCACCUGGCAUGAAUCGCGGGGCCACCACGACUCAACUCGCCGAGUCUCAAGAACAACUCGGCGAGUUCCGGCUUGACUCAGCCCCCUAUUGACUCUCCCUGACUCACUGGGUCAUCCCCCAACCCGGCGAGUCUACUCGCUGAACAAUUUACGUGAAACCCCAACCCUACUCGCCGAGUCUCAAGAACAACUCGGCGAGUUCAUGCCAUGCACAAACUCUAUUGACCUUCUGAGGUCAGAUCUGUUUCCCCAAACCAUAGAUCUGGCCUUCCCAAGCAUGAAUGUCACGUAAAGUUCGAAACUUGAUGCUUGUAUAACCCCCACAAGGCAUCAAAAGGAGAUUUGGUCCCAAAAAUGACAACCUAGGUCCAAUAACUCCAUAAUAACCCAAAAAGCUCCAAGGGUUAAGGUCUCUGGACCUCUUUGAGUCCAGAUCCAAGGCACAAACUCGAAGAGGGACCAUUUGCUUCACAUAAUCACUCUCCAAAGGGGUUAGAAAACCCUAACUCUAAAGAUCAACCCUAAAACUGAAGGAGGUUCGAACUAUUACCUCAAAAUGAAGCCUCUGGACUCUAGAUCUGCUGGAAUCUCACCUCCUCCUUGCUCUUGCCAUUUUCUUCUUGCUUAACAAGGAAUACAAAGGCCCAAAAGUGACUUCCUCUCUCCCAAAACGAUUUAGCUCUCUUAGGGUUCUCUCAAGGGUCUGGUAGCCGCAAUGGGAGGCUAUAAGUGCCCUUAAAUAGGCUCUAAACCCGGGGAAUUAGGGUUUCAUUAAACAGCGUACACUUGCCGAGUCCACUUUUGGACUCGUCGAGUCUAGACGCGAACCCGUGCCCAUAGCCGCGAUCAUACUCGGUGAGUUUGAGCUCCAACUCGCCGAGUCUCCUCACAAUCACCACAAUUAUAAGAAUGAAUAAUACAUGGGAAUCCAGGCUGUUACAAUUCUCCCCCACUAGAACUAGACUUCGCCCUCGAAGUCUCACUCUACAAAUAACUCUGGAUGCUGCUCGCGCAUCUCACACUCCGACUCCUAAGUCAUCUCGGACCCCUUCCGAUGCUGCCACUGAACCAAAACCAAGGGUACCUCCUUGUUCCUCAGAACCUUGAUUUUCUGAUCUCUGAUUGCCACUGGUCUCUCAGCAUAAUCCAUGCUCGCAUCCACCUGAAUAUCCUCUAAUGGAACCACUGCCGACUCAUCGGCUAUACACUUCCGCAAUUGCGACACGUGGAAAGUGUCGUGAAUCUGCCCCAACUCUGCUGGCAAUUCCGAACGAUAGGCUACCCUGCCUACCCUCGCGACCACUCAAAAUGGACCAAUAUAUCGAGGCUCCAACUUGCCCCUCUUCCUGAAUCGAAUCACUCCUUUCCAAGGAGAGAUCUUAAGGAGCACAAAGUCGCCGACCUGAAACUCAAGCUCGGACCGGCGUCUGUCCGCAUAACUCUUCUGACGACUCUAAGCGGUCAACAACCUCUGUCUGACCUGCUGGAUCUACUAUGUCGUCUGAAGCACGGUCUAUGUACUGCCCAUCAUUACGCUGUCCAACCUCUCCCCAGCAAAUGGGGAUCCUACACCUCCUCCCAUACAACAGCCCAAAGGGCGGCAUACUAAUGCUCGAAUGAUGGUUGUUGUUGUAGGAAAACUCUGCCAAGGACAAGUACGUAUCCCAACUCCCCCCAAAAUCCAACACGCAUGCUCGGAGCAUGUCCUCGAGCGUCUGAAUUGUCCGCUCACUCUAUCCGUCUGUCUGGGGGUGAUAUGCGGUACUAAAAUGCAAUCUAGUACCCAACUCCUCAUGAAACUUCUUCUAGAAUCUGGAAGUGAAACGUACAUCCCGGUUUGAGACAAUCGAGAUCGGCACCCCAUGCCGAGAUACCACUUCCCUCACGUACAUCUCUACUAACUUAUAUAUGGAGGAGCUCUCACUAAUAGCAAGGAGGUGGGCGGUCUUCGUCAACCUGUCCACAAUCACCCAAAUUGCAUCGACUCCCCUAGAAGUCCUUGGCAAUUUGGUGAUAAAAUCCAUGGUGAUCUAUUCCCGCUUCCAUUCGGGAACCUCCAACGGCUGCAACUUGCCAUGCAGUCUCUGGUGAUCGGCCUUAACCCUACGGCAGGUUAAGCACCUCUCAACAAACCACGCCACAUCCUUCUUCAUACAGGGCCACCAAUACCCCCUCCUUAGGUCCAAAUACAUNGCAGGUUAAGCACCUCUCAACAAACCACGCAACAUCCCUCUUCAUACAGGGCCACCAAUACUCCCUCCUCAGGUCCAAAUACAUCUUAGUGGCCCCAGGAUGGAUCGAGAAUUUCGACCGAUGAGCCUCUUCCAUCAAAAUGGUACGCGCCCCUCCCACAAACGGUACCCAUAUACGCCCCUGAAAAGUCAUAAGCCCCCGACCAUCGGUAACGAACUCCGAUACCAACCCAACAACUCGCUCUCUCUUCUGGUUCUCCGAUCUCACGGCCUCAGCCUGUGCUCCACGAAUGGUGUCCAACACCGGAGCCAUCACGGUCAAUCGCAAACAUACACCUCGCAAUGGGGCGCUCUCCGCCCUGCGACUCAGGGCGUCGGCUACCACAUUAGCCUUGCCCGGAUGGUACAGAAUCUCACAAUCAUAAUCCUUGACCACAUCCAACCACCUCCUCUGCCGCAUAUUUAGGUUGGGCUGAUCCAUCAAAUACUUCAGGCUCUUAUGGUCCGUGUAUAUCGUACACCGAACCCCAUACAGAUAGUGACGCCAAAUCUUGAGGGCGAACACCACUGCCCCCAACUCUAGAUCAUGGGUGGGAUACCUCGUCUCAUGAGGUUUCAGCUGCCUCGAUGCGUAUGCUAUCACAUGCCCUCUCUGCAUCAGCACCGCUCCCAACCCCAAGAUCGAUGCAUCACAGUAUACCACAAAGUCCUCCAUCCCCUCCGGGAGGGCUAACACCGGGGCUUCGCAUAACCUUUGGCGAAGCGUCUCAAAGGAGGCCUGCUGCUCGGGGCCCCAUGAAAAAGCGACACCCUUCCGGGUCAACUUGGUGAGUGGCACUGUGACUUUAGAGAAUCCUUGAUAAAUCUCCGAUAAUAACCUACCAACCCUAGGAAACUCCUGAUCUUGGAGGGUGACCUCGGCACCUCCUAACUCAUCACCGCCUCAACUUUGGCCGGGUCGACCAAUAUCCCUUCCUGGUUAACGAGAUGACCCAGGAACUGGACCUCUCGCAACCAGAAAUCACACUUGGAGAAUUUGGCAUAAAGCCUCUCCGAUCUCAGAACUCCGAGGAUCUCCCUCAAAUACUCCUCAUGCUGCUCUCUAGAUCUCGAAUAUACCAAAAUGUCGUCGAUGAAUACAAUCACCGACCGAUCCAACAUCGGCCUGCGCACUCGGUUCAUGAGAUCCAUGAACACUGCCGGGGCAUUGGUGAGUCCGAAAGGCAUCACCACAAACUCGUAAUGCCCAUAACGCGUCCUGAACGCUGUCUUCUGGAUGUCCUCAUCUCGCACCCUCACCUGAUGAUAUCCGGACCUCAAAACGAUCGUGGAGAACCAAGAUGCUCCCUGUAACUGAUCGAACAAAUCGUCGAUCCUCGGCAACGGGUAACGGUUCUUGACCGUCAGCUUGUUCAACUCCCGGUAAUCAAUGCACAUCCGGUGUGAACCAUCCUUCUUCUUGACAAACAGGAUAGGCGCUCCCCACGGCGAGCUGCUCGGCCGAAUAAACCCCUUUCCCAGCAGCUCCUGAAGCUGCGAGGAUAACUCUUUCAUCUCUGGAGGUGCAAGGCGAUAAGGCACCUUAGCGAUAGGCGCGACCCCCGGAACCAAAUCGAUACUGAACUCUACUUGCCUCACAGGAGGCACACCUGGCAACUCCACUGGAAAUACAUCCGGGAACUCACGCACUAUCGGAACCUCCUUAAUUGACCUCGGCCUCUCGGAAUCCACUCGCGUCUCCAUCACAUACGCCACAAAACCCUUACAGCCCUGCUGAAGACACUGCCUCACCCUAGCGGCCGAACAAAACGCUGACCCAGAACGUGUACCCUCGCCGUACACCGUAAGGACUCCCCCACUAGGGUCUCGUAUGGUCACCAGCUGUCGCUCGCAGUCAAUAACCGCACCGAAUCUGCUCAACCAGUCCAUGCCCACAAUGACACAGACAUCACCCAUCGCAAUAGGAACCAAAUCAAUCGGGAACUCAACACCGAAAAUCUCGACUACGCACCCUCGGAGAACCUCCGUGGCAUAUAUCACCCUCUCGUCAGCUAUGGAAACUCUCAGAGGCCGACUCAACGCCUCACGACUAACACUGAUAUGCUGACUAAAAGCCAAAGAUACAAAAGACCGACUCGCACCCGAGUCAAAUAACACCAAGGCAGGUACAGAAUUCACAAGAAAAGUACCUACGCAUAACAUAAUAUAAGCAUAAUAUCUCAACAUCAAAAUAAAUACACGAAAGAAUACAUACCAGCCACGACAUCAGGCGCUGCACGGACCUCCUCCGCGGUCAACUGAAAGGCUCUCCCUCGUGCCCUCGGCGCCUCGGCCUUCACUGGCCGACUCUCGGUAGCUCUGAUGGCGGCAGGGGCAGAUCCCUGAGGUGCUCCCUGAGAUGAUCCUCGCAACUGCGGACACUCUGCCUUCCGGUGUCCGGUCUGAUUGCAGUGAAAACACACCGCAAACCCCUUGGGGCAGUCCUUGGCCAUGUGCCCCUCCUUGCCACACUUGUAGCAAGAUCCCGCUCUACAGACUCCAUCAUGACCCUUGCCACACUUCCCACAAGUGCGGCCCUUCUGGCUCCCUGGUUUGGGAUCAGCGGGCUUGGCCCGCUUGGCUGCCGGCUGAGACUGUGCCGGUCGCCGAUCCCUCCCCUGAGACUUCGCCUCCUCCCUGGACUGAGUCUCUAGCUCGAUCUCCCUAUUCCGGGCAUUUGCCUGAAGCUCGGUAAAUGUCCGGUACGAGGAGUUCGCCACGAACUCCCGAAUGUCUCGCCUGAAAAUACUCAAAUAUCGGCUCAUACGUUCCUGCUCAGUGGACGCGUGCUCAGGGCAGAACAUCGCCCUCUCGUGGAACAUCCUGGUAAUCACCGUAACAGACUCAGUACCCUGCUUGAGGGUCGGAAACUCCUGGGCCAAACACUCCCUCUCGACCUGGGGAAUGUACUCAUCUCGGAACAUAGCAGUGAACCUCUCCCAGGUCACUGCUACAAGCUCAGCUGGCGUGUAGUGCACCGUCACAAAUUUCCACCAGUCCUUCGCUCCCAAGCGAAGCUGGUUCAGCGCGAAUCGGGCUCUCAAAUGCUCAGGAGAUGAGAAAGUGAAGAAACACCCCUCUAUGUCAGAAAUACAUCUCAUAGCCGUCAUCGGGUCCUGGGUCCCAUCAAACUCCAACGGAAUAGCUGUGNAACAGCAGCCUCAGAAAGAGCAGCAUAACGCUCGUCGAAAGUCUCAAUCAACGUGGUCUUAAUAGACACGAACAUCUCUGGUAUCUCUGCCCUGAUGGCCGCAGCCACCUCCUCAUGGAUGACCUGGAGGAUCUCCUCAUCACUGGCCCCACUGCUCUCAGGCAUAAGACGUGUCCACACCAUGAUCUACCUCUGAAAUACAACAUAUGAUAAAUUAGAAUCCAUUCGAGCAUACUCACACUCGAUAACUUAUUCCUCCUUGACCCUUGGCAUUCCAAAGAUUCUUACUUGGGCUAUACACCGCCCAGGUGCUUUCAGUAAUAUGGGCCCAAUACUACUGUCCGCACCGUAUCAGAAUACACCCCAAGUCCUCUUCUUCGGAUCCCAAUUCCAAGUACUCUAUUAUGCAUAAUCCACUCUCUAGCAGAUCUCUCAUAAGUCCCUCGCUGCUACCUACUCACUCUCAAGCAUCUCAAAGCAGCUCACCUCUCCCUAGGCUAAGGCAUCACAAACAGGCCACUCUAGUCCUAAUAGGAGUACCUAGCCUACUCUAGCAUGAGAAUACAACAUAUCCAUAUCAAUAUCACAUAACAUGAGGGUAUUUUGGGAAAUCACCGUUCGGGCGCAGACUGAUCGUACACACAACUCUGCUCUGUGAUUUUCCAAAAAUCUUUUACUCUUUUUGAAAAUACUUCUCAAAUCCUCAGUUUGAGUUCAAAUACGCCCGAAGGUGUACUCAAAUCCCUCAAACCAAGGCUCUGAUACCAACUUGUAACACCGUGAAUUUCUAAACAAUUUUUCUCAUUUUAUAAAAACAUAAUUCAUUUAAUAUUCAUAAAAACAUCAAUGUUUGAAACUCAAUCCAUGCCAUAUAAACAUCCCAAGAUCUCAUAACAUAAAAAUCUCGUAUGUUCGAACUAUUACCUCAAAAUGAAGCCUCUGCACUCUAGAUCUGCUAGAAUCUCACCUCCUCUUUGCUCUUUCCACCUUCUUCUUGCUAAACAAGGAAUACA